CAAGGCGACGAUCCCUAGCUGGUCUGAGAGGAUGACCAGCCACACUGGAACUGAGACACGGUCCAGACUCCUACGGGAGGCAGCAGUGGGGAAUAUUGCACAAUGGGCGCAAGCCUGAUGCAGCCAUGCCGCGUGUAUGAAGAAGGCCUUCGGGUUGUAAAGUACUUUCAGCGGGGAGGAAGGUGUUGUGGUUAAUAACCGCAGCAAUUGACGUUACCCGCAGAAGAAGCACCGGCUAACUCCGUGCCAGCAGCCGCGGUAAUACGGAGGGUGCAAGCGUUAAUCGGAAUUACUGGGCGUAAAGCGCACGCAGGCGGUCUGUCAAGUCGGAUGUGAAAUCCCCGGGCUCAACCUGGGAAC
rnacentral:rRNA from 1 species